AAAGGUUCCACUAUGGAAUUAGGUGUCUCUUGUACCUGGGUUUAUCCAAAAGCUGCUGAAUCAUUGGCUGAGCCUGAGGAAUAUCCAAAUUUAUUUGAAGACUGGCAAGUUUCACUUGCUGUUGAAUCUAAGGCUGCAGAAACAAGGAAUGUUUACCCUCCUGCGGAACAGUACAUCAGCCAUGCAGAUAAAUCACAAAAGCUUA